rnacentral:rRNA from 1 species
GUCCACGCCGUAAACGAUGAAUGCCAGACGUCGGGGCUUGCCCUUCGGUGUCACACCUAACGGAUUAAGCAUUCCGCCUGGGGAGUACGGUCGCAAGAUUAAAACUCAAAGGAAUUGACGGGGCCCGCACAAGCGGUGGAGCAUGUGGUUUAAUUCGAAGCAACGCGCAGAACCUUACCAACCCUUGACAUGCCCUGACCGGCCUGGAGACAGGUUUUUCCCGCAAGGGACAGGGACACAGGUGCUGCAUGGCUGUCGU